rnacentral:misc_RNA from 1 species
GAUGAAGAACGCAGCGAAAUGCGAUACGUAAUGUGAAUUGCAGAAUUCAGUGAAUCAUCGAAUCUUUGAACGCACAUUGCGCCCGCCAGUAUUCUGGCGGGCAUGCCUGUUCGAGCGUCAUUUCAACCAUCAAGCCCCCGGGCUUGUGUUGGGGACCUGCGGCUGCCGCAGGCCCUGAAAAGCAGUGGCGGGCUCGCUGUCACACCGAGCGUAGUAGAUUUUAUCUCGCUCUGGGCGUGCUGCGGGUUCCGGCCGUUAAACCACCCUUUUAACCCAAGGUUGACCUCGGAUCAGGUAGGAAGACCCGCUGAACUUAAGCAUAUCAAUAAGCGGAGGA